GUUUCUGUGAUGAUCUAUAAGUUAUCCCUGUCUUACACAUACGUGGUGAUAAAUCUAUUUUCUGAUACAAAU